rnacentral:rRNA from 1 species
ACCUACGGGAGGCAGCAGUGGGGAAUCUUGCACAAUGGGGGAAACCCUGAUGCAGCGACGCCGCGUGAGCGAUGAAGCCCUUCGGGGCGUAAAGCUCUUUCGGCAGGAACGAUAAUGACGGUACCUGAAGAAGAAGCUGCGGCUAACUACGUGCCAGCAGCCGCGGUAAUACGUAGGCAGCAAGCGUUGUUCGGAGUUACUGGGCGUAAAGAGUGCGUAGGCGGUGUCGAAAGUUUGGCGUGAAAUCUCCCGGCUUAACUGGGAGGGUGCGCCGAAAACUGCGACGCUGGAGUGUGGGAAAGGCAAGCGGAAUUCCUGGUGUAGCGGUGAAAUGCGUAGAUAUCAGGAGGAACACCGGCGGUGUAGACGGCUUGCUAGACCAUAACUGACGCUGAGGCACGAAAGCGUGGGUAGCAAACAGGAUUAGAUACCCCGGUAGUCCC